GCCUUUUUAACUCAGUGGUAGAGUAUUUGCAUGGUAAGCAAAAAGUCGCCGGUUCGACUCCGGUGAAAGGCU
rnacentral:tRNA from 2 species